rnacentral:sRNA from 1 species
CUUUCCAGCCCGCCUAGCAACACCCACAAACAACGUCACGACGCAACGUGGUUAAACAGUACGUUUAUUAAAGUAACUGGGUGAACGACACCGGAGCGGACUGCAAAUCGCAACGCUACUUUCUCGAGUGCAGAUACUCUUCGAGACGGCUAAACAACGCGUCCAACUCGCUGAGACCUUUCCGCGUGCCGUUAUCCGAUUUCCUUUCCGCCUCCUGAGACAGCCGACUAAUCACGGACUUAUCUCCGCAACCUAACAGAGGCUGGGAGCCCAACAGCCUUUGACCACCGUACCGUCGAGCCACACGGAGUAGUCGUCCUCACGUUGCUACAAGAGGAAAACUACGUCACCCGACACGCGGAAAAUAAAGACCGUCGCAAUAAACCGUACCUACGUGACCUACCAACGUAGGUUUUACCCGAUGAAAGGUGACGCGGAGAUCUUGCAAUCUGGUCGCGUAAUCCUCUGGACGACACUGCGGCUUUGUAUUCUUUAUCGUCGUCGUCGUCGUUGCCGGCUUCGCCUCCUCGGAAGCGCCUAGAAAAAAGACGAUCAGGACCAGAGAGGAAGAGACCAUCACCGACAGCAUCGCCGCAGCAUGCCGCCCCAAUCCGCCGGGUUUCUUUCUCUUGUAGAUACCACUCGUAGACUGUCAGCCUCGCGAGGAGACACCGCGGACCGGGGAAACGGAUAAGUUUACGAACAGAAAUCUCAAGAGAAAGACGCUGACCCGAUAAGUACCGUCACGGAGACACGGUGGUUUUUAUUGAAUUUCCAGUGUAUCGAGCCACCGUGAUGCAGGUACGGUGGUUUUAUGUAAAGUGCCGCUAUCUAUAGGCGAUGUGUUCCCUGACGGUGUGUGUUUUUUGGGGAUAGACAACGUGGUUCUUGUACGUGGUUUUUACCCUGCUCAAUAAAGUCACGUUUUC